rnacentral:rRNA from 1 species
UUGGAGGGCAAGUCUGGUGCCAGCAGCCGCGGUAAUUCCAGCUCCAAUAGCGUAUAUUAAAGUUGUUGCAGUUAAAAAGCUCGUAGUUGAACUUCGGGACCGGUGGGUUGGUCGUGCCUCCGGUACGUACUGGCCCUACCGGUUCCUCCCUUCUGACGAACCACGAUGUCAUUAAUUUGGUGUCGUGGGGAAUCAGGACUGUUACUUUGAAAAAAUUAGAGUGUUUAAAGCAGGCUAAAGCUUGAAUAGAUUAGCAUGGAAUAACGAAAUAGGACGUUUGAUCUUAUUUUGUUGGUUUCUAAGAUCGACGUAAUGAUUAAUAGGGAUAGUUGGGGGCAUUAGUAUUCAAUUGUCAGAGGUGAAAUUCUUGGAUUUAUUGAAGACUAACUACUGCGAAAGCAUUUGCCAAGGAUGUUUUCAUUAAUCAAGAACGAAAGUUAGGGGAUCGAAGACGAUCAGAUACCGUCGUAGUCUUAACCAUAAACUAUGCCGACUAGGGAUCGGAUGAUGUUAAUUUUUUAAUGACUCAUUCGGCGCCUUACGGGAAAC